rnacentral:lncRNA from 1 species
AAAAGAACCAAAGCCUCUUGCUGUAAUAUCCCAAGGUUAAUAACCAAAGAGAUAAUUGGCAGGAAGUGGAGUUCCAGUUUGUUUCUCCUUGCUCAUCGCCAGCUACGUACAAAGAGCACAAAAGAAACCUCUUGCUUUUCACAUGGUGAGUUCACAACCAGUAGUUUUCUCUAUGCUUUAACUGUUGUUUUAUCUUCAGCAGAGCGACAAAUUCCCAUCAGCUUGGGUCGGUGGGUCGGUGCUUUCUCAUAGCAAAAAAAACCCUUCUUCCUCUUUUUUUUUAAUCUUUGAUUCUUUCAGUUUGAUUUAUUGUUUUUUUUUGCUUGUUGUCCAUCUCAUAACGAACGUCAUUGAACGAGCUUUGGCUUUUGUGGCACAACAAUGAGAGGAACCCAGAGAACUCUAGGAUUUCCUCUACGCCUUUUCAAGAGAGUUGUGCACGAGUUUUUGAUUGUUUCGGUGGUUUGCCUGCCAUGACAAUCAAUCCACACGAAUUACUGUUGAAUUGGAGGUUGGAAACAUCCUGGAAAGCACUUGAUCAGAGCUGCCUGUUGGAAUGAUGAUUGAAAUCAUCAUAGAAGACAAUCCUUCAUGUUGAUUGUGGACUGGAUGUCUGAAGACAUCGCUGGAGUUAUUUGAGCUGAGCCAAGUCUUGGAGAGAUUCUUAACUUUGUUUAUGAUGAUUUCAAUCAUCAUAGCCAAGAAUUUCUGUGGAUUGAUCAAACAAACUGCUGGGUGCGGAUCGUAUCCUCGGAAUUACUUGAGCAGAGCUGUCCCUUAGAGAGAUUACUGACCCUUUUUAUGAUGAUAGAAAUCAUCAUGGCCAGGAACCCUUGAGUUGAAUGGAACCAGAAAUCUUGAGCAAAAAGAAAGAAAUCAGAAAAUUGUGCCAUGAAACUAAUCUUUUUACCUUGAUAUGGCUCUUUCCUUUCUCAAGUCUGCUUGCUAAUUUUUCUUCUUGC